ensembl:snRNA U6 U6 spliceosomal RNA
UGUUUCCCGCACUCCAAGUGCUAAAAUUGGAAUGAUACAGAGAAGAUUAGUAUGCUAGUAGCCUCUGUGCAGGAAUGACAUGUAAAUAUGUAAAGCAUUCCAUAUCUAA